AAGAAAGACAGUUUCGGAGCUGGCCAUUACUCUCUUGAUUUGGUUGACCGUCUUUGAUUUGUCUAGCUAUCCAAGAUGGCGUCGUUGCUGGGAUUGCGCGCAUGUUUCUCCGCCCUACAGUUGACUUCGCCGAGCCUCCUACACAGCUCCAUUAGAUUGUCUGCUGUGCCCCUUUGUCGGAGGACCUUUGCUGUAGAGGUGAAGAAGACAUACACCAGAGACAAGCCCCAUGUAAACAUUGGAACAAUUGGCCAUGUGGAUCACGGAAAGACCACCCUGACUGCAGCCAUCACAAAAGUGCUCUCUGAAGCUGGUGGAGCUAGCUUUAAAAAGUACGAAGAAAUUGACAAUGCCCCCGAGGAGAAGGCCCGAGGAAUCACCAUCAACGCCUCUCAUGUAGAAUACACCACAGCCAACAGACAUUACGCUCACACGGACUGUCCUGGUCAUGCUGACUACAUCAAGAACAUGAUUACAGGCACAGCCCAGAUGGACGGCUGCAUCCUGGUGGUGGCGGGCACCGACGGCCAGAUGCCUCAGACACGAGAGCACAUCCUGUUGGCGCGGCAGAUUGGCAUCGAGCACGUUGUUGUUUUCAUCAAUAAAGCCGACGUUGUGGAUGACAAGGAGAUGCUGGAGCUGGUGGAGAUCGAGAUCCGUGAGCUGCUCACAGAGUUCGGAUACGAUGGCGACAACGCACCAGUUGUGAUCGGCUCGGCCCUCUGCGCCCUGGAGAACAGAGAGCCUGAACUCGGUGUGAAUGCAGUGUUGAAUCUGCUGGAGAAGGUGGACGAAUACAUCCCACUGCCCAAAAGACAGCUGGAAAAACCUUUUCUCCUCCCCGUUGAAGGAGUGUGUUCAAUCCCAGGCAGAGGCACAGUGGUGACAGGCACUAUGGAGAGGGGGGUCAUUAAGAAGGGAGACGAGUGUGAGUUUGUGGGUCACAACCGCAGCUUCAAGUCGGUGGUUACAGGUAUCGAGAUGUUCCACAAGUCUCUGGAUCGGGCGGAGGCAGGAGAUAAUCUUGGCGCUCUGGUUAGAAGUUUGAAGAGAGAGGAGGUCAGGAGAGGGAUGGUGAUGUGCAAACCAGGAUCCAUCAUGCCUCACAGGAAAGUCCAGGCCCAGGUGUAUAUUCUGAGUAAGGAGGAGGGAGGCCGACACAAACCCUUCAUCUCCAACUUCAUGCCCCUCAUGUUCUCUCUGACCUGGGACAUGGCCUGCAGGGUCACUCUGCCCUUGGACAAGGAAAUGGUGAUGCCCGGGGAGGACACCUCCUUGACGCUCACGCUCCGUCAGCCGAUGGUCCUGGAGAAAGGCCAGAGGUUCACUCUGAGAGACGGAAGCAAAACCAUCGGCACCGGCCUGGUCACAGAUAUCCUGCCCUUUACAGAUGAGGACCUUUUCAACUGGGGCUGAAAAAUAAGCUCUGCACAGAGGACAGGGCUGGGGGGAGGGGUCACUGGGGGGGGUCAGGGAGGAAGGGUCUGCGGUUUUCUGUGUUUGGUCAAAUCAAAUAAUUGAAGAAAUAUACAAAUACAAACCCAUGCACAAACCUAAAAGACUGAGAGGAAUUCAUGGCUCUGUUGUGCAGGUGCACCAUUCCAAAAUACCUGAAAUGUAAAACGCUGUAUAUAGCCACUCCCCUGGGGUCUUUAUGUUAAAAGGCCACACUGUCAAAACUACGUCAUUUAUGUAAUAAAAAUGUAUUUAAAGAAAA